rnacentral:rRNA from 1 species
GACGUAGGGCGCGAGCGUUGUCCGGAUUUAUUGGGCGUAAAGCGCACGUAGGCGGCCAAGUCAGUCAGGUGUGAAAUACCUCGGCUCAACCGAGGAACUGCGCCUGAUACUGCUUGGCUUGAGGUCCGGAGGGGAGAGUGGAAUUCCCGGUGGAGCGGUGAAAUGCGUAGAGAUCGGGAAGAACGCCGGCGGCGAAAGCGACUCUCUGGUCGGAAUCUGACGCUGAGGUGCGAAAGCUAGGGGAGCAAACGGG